rnacentral:rRNA from 1 species
GAUGAACGCUGACAGAAUGCUUAACACAUGCAAGUCUUUGGCGAAGCUGUGCUUGCACAGCCUAGCCAGGGCGGACGGGUGGGUAACGCGUCAGGAACUUGCCCUGCAGUCAGGGAUAACAGACGGAAACGACUGAUAAGACCUGGUAAAGUCAGGCGGACUCAUGUCCAGCCUGAUGAAAAGAGAUGCUGCAGGAGAGCCUUGCGUCCUAUUAGCUUGUUGGUGGGGUAACGGCCCACCAAGGCGAUGAUAGGUAGCCGGCCUGAGAGGGUGGACGGCCACAAGGGGACUGAGAUACGGCCCUUACUCCUACGGGAGGCAGCAGUGGGGAAUAUUGGACAAUGGGGGCAACCCUGAUCCAGCAAUUCUGUGUGCACGAUGAAGGUUUUCGGAGUGUAAAGUGCUUUCAGCAGGGAAGAAAAAAAUGACGGUACCUGCAGAAGAAGCGACGGCUAAAUACGUG